rnacentral:misc_RNA from 1 species
AUUCCUCAAUCUACAUAGAUUUUUCUGUGGCAGAUUGGAUUUGGAAGCUGCUGUUCAUACCAUGAUCAGCUCUUCUUAAAUGUAUUAGUGUGAAUGUUGUCAGAUGUUCUCCAGUGUAAUAAUCAUUUGCGCUGCAAGGACUUUGGCAGAUUAUAUGUUCAUGCUUCUAAUCGUCUGUUUCAGACAAUACCUUUUGC